CGGGGCUGCAGCCGGCGGAGGCUGCUCUGCUUCGCUCGCCGCGGAGCCGCUUUAUAGCCCCGGAUCAGGCCGGGGCUGCCGCGUCAGCCCCACGUGGGGAACUGCCCCCGGUGCGCGCACACGCACAUACACACACACACGGACGCGGGCAGACGCGCCGCUCGCACACACACACACACCGCAGCUUCGCCUCCAGUGCCGACAGACUCAGCCCGCUGGAAACCCCUCAAUCCACCUGAAGCUCAACCCAGCCACAUCCACUCUGAGCUGUGACAUCAAGAAAGCAGAGCUGGAGCCUCAGCAGCACCUGUAAACACCGCAGUAGCAUCAUAUCUCCCUUUCAGCCUCCAUCCAGGUCAUCUCACAGCUCUGCCACAAUGGUGGGAAGCACCAGGGCUGGCGCAGACCCCCCAGGAUAGCCCCCAAGCACACCCACUCCUGCAGGAGGGCUGUGAUAGGAGUCCAUCCCACGCAUUACGAGGUGGGGCUUCCAUCCUUGUGUGUGCAGACCCUGCGCGCAGCGCAUCACAGAGGGGAAUCCAUCAUCCUUACUGAGCCCGUUCCC
rnacentral:lncRNA from 1 species